GAGACCUCAGGUCAGGCGGGGCUACCCGCUGAGUUUAAGCAUAUCAAUAAGCGGAGGAAAAGAAACUAACAAGGAUUCCCCUA
rnacentral:rRNA from 5 species